rnacentral:piRNA from 1 species
UCCAGGUUGUUGGCUGAAUCCAGUUC